UGGUCUUGCUGACUUCAAGAAUGAAGCCACGGACCUUCACGAGAAAUAUUACGUUGUAUGGAUGUACCACUGUUUGUUUAUCCAUUCUUCAGGUGAAGGACAUGUGGGUUGUGCCCAGCGCGGGCUGAAUAAAGAUACACACACAGGCACAUUGGAAACGCAGUAGAAAAUGGCUGCCAAUUUAAAACCAGAAGUUAAGAAGAGCAAACUCGAAUGUACAGCAAGAGAGCUUCAGGCUGGACUGGCUUCCAGCAGAAGUGGGACUGGAAACCUCGGAUUCUAUUGUCUCUUCUCUGUGAAGUGGGAAAACAUAGUGAACCCAGAGCACAUGGCUUUCCACCCGGACUGGUUGGUUACUGCUGCCCUAUUCUUUGAUGGAGAUAAACAAACAAACAAACAAACCUGAUUGCAAUGGUGCUUUGGAACCCCUAGAUCCUGAACUCCUUUGGGAGAGAUCUGAGAGUGGGAGCAGGGCCUUCUGCAGCCAAGUUAGCCUCCCAGGCUGGCUAAUAGCUGGUGAGUUUCUUCCCUAGGUUUUGGCGGAGGUGACCACUAUGGUGUCAAGACUAUGGACCUGGGAACAGACAGACUUGGGUUCAGAUUCCAGCUCUACCACUUACUAGUUGAGGGACUUCAGCCCUAAUCCAGUUCUCUUUUUCAUUAUUUAUUUUCUCUUCUUGAAUGGGGAAUACUUUGACAUGUUUGAAGACUUAAACAAUAUAAGGAUAUGUGUGCUCGGAAUCUAUUCUGUCCUGUCCUUAUCCAUCAUGCUUACCUAUACCCUGACCAUUGUCCUUAGAUUCUCAUUGUUUCUUCUGGUGUUUUUUAUGCAAACAAAAGCAAAUUUAUUAUAUAUAUUAUUAUUUUUCUUCCUUCCCUACCCAAAAGGCAUCCUAUUAUGUAUACUGUCCUGAACAUUGUCUUGUUUUUUUUUCAUUCAUAAUAUCAGAACACAAAGAUGUUCCUUAUUUU
rnacentral:lncRNA from 1 species